rnacentral:rRNA from 1 species
GUAGGUGGCAAGCGUUGUCCGGAAUUAUUGGGCGUAAAGCGCGCGCAGGCGGUCCUUUAAGUCUGAUGUGAAAGCCCACGGCUCAACCGUGGAGGGUCAUUGGAAACUGGGGGACUUGAGUACAGAAGAGGAAAGCGGAAUUCCAAGUGUAGCGGUGAAAUGCGUAGAGAGUUUGGAGGAACACCAGUGGCGAAGGCGGCUUUCUGGUCUGUAACUGACGCUGAGGCGCGAAAGCGUGGGGAGCAAACAGGAUUAGAUACCCUGGUAGUCCACGCCGUAAACGAUGAGUGCUAAGUGUUACGGGGGUUUCCGCCCCUUAGUGCUGCAGCUAACGCAUUAAGCACUCCGCCUGGGGAGUACGGCCGCAAGGCUG